UAUCUAUAGGCCUUAUCGCGAUACCUGUGAGCCCUAUCGUGAUAUCUAUAGGCCCUAUCGCAAUACCUGUGAUCCCUAUCGCGAUAUGUGUAGGCCCUGUCAUGAUAUUUAUACGCUCUAUCGCAAUACAGGCCCUAUUGCUGUUUAUAUUGGCCCUAUCACGAUAUGUAUCAGCCUUAUCACCAUAUCUGUUGGCCCUAUUGCGAUAUCUAUUGGCCUUAUCGCGAUACCUUUGAUCCCUAUCGUGAUAUCUAUAGGCCCUAUCGCGAUACCUGUGAUCCCUAUCGCGAUAUCUGUAGGCCCUGUCAUGAUAUCUAUAGGCUCUAUCGCAAUACAGGCCCUAUCGCUGUUUAUAUUGGCCCUAUCGUGAUAUGUAUCGGCCUUAUCGCGAUAUCUGUUGGCCCUAUCGUGAUAUCUAUUGGCCCUAUCGCGGUAUCUAGUGGCCCUAUUGUGAUAUCUGUGAGCCCUAUCACGAUAUCUAUAAGCCCUGUCAUGAUAUCUGUGAGCUCUAUCACGAUACCUAUAGGCCCUAUCGCUAUAUAGGCCCUAUCACGAUAUCUGUAUGCCCUAUCGUGAUAUCUAUCGGUCCUAUCACGGUAUCUGUUGGCCCUAUCGCAAUAUAUAUCAGCCCUAUUGUGAUAUAUAUCCGCCCUAUCGCGAUAUCUGGGAGCCCUAUCACAUUAUCUAUAGGCCCUAUCGCGAUAUAGGCCCUAUCGCGAUAUCCCUGCCACAAUAUCGUUCCUGUCGCGAUAUUCUUGCCACAUUAUCACUCCUAUCGCGAUAUCAGUGCCACUCUAUCAUCCCUAUCGCGAUAUCCCUGUCCCAUUAUCAUCCCUAUCGCGAUAUCUCUGCCAUGCUAUUGUUCCUAUCACGAUAUCCCUGCCACACUAUCACUCCUAUCGCGAUAUCCUUGCCACAUUAUCACUCCUAUCGCGAUAUCAGUGCCACUCUAUCAUCCCUAUUGCGAUAUCCCUGUCCCAUUAUCAUC
ensembl:lncRNA